CACGUAGGGGGCAAGCGUUGUCCGGAUUUAUUGGGCGUAAAGAGCUCGUAGGCGGUUUGUCGCGUCUGCUGUGAAAACGCGAGGCUCAACCUCGCGCCUGCAGUGGGUACGGGCAGACUAGAGUGCGGUAGGGGAGAUUGGAAUUCCUGGUGUAGCGGUGGAAUGCGCAGAUAUCAGGAGGAACACCGAUGGCGAAGGCAGAUCUCUGGGCCGUAACUGACGCUGAGGAGCGAAAGCGUGGGGAGCGAACAGG
rnacentral:rRNA from 1 species